UACGGAGGGUGCAAGCGUUAUCCGGAUUUACUGGGUUUAAAGGGUGCGUAGGUGGGUUGGUGAGUCAGUGGUGAAAUACUUUCGCUUAACGAAGGAACUGCCAUUGAUACUACCAGCCUUGAAUACAGUGGAGGUGGGCGGAAUGCGUCAUGUAGCGGUGAAAUGCUUAGAUAUGACGCAGAACACCAAUUGCGAAGGCAGCUCACUAAGCCAUAACUGACGCUGAUGCACGAAAGCGUGGGGAGCAAACAGG
rnacentral:rRNA from 1 species